rnacentral:rRNA from 1 species
CAUUACCGUUGCAUACRAAAACAAC